CAACAUCAAUGAAACCAAAGAAGCAGCAUCAACAUAUCGAUCGCAUCGUCAGGUUAUUUGAUUUUGUUUCCUAUUUUGUUGUUCUUCAAAAGUCACCAACUAGACAAAGACGGAGUCACCAACUAAGUAAAUUUUCGAAAUUUCAUGAGUUAGGGUUUGAUGAUAUCGGUUCGAUUCUGAAGAAAUAUUGUUGCUAUCUGAACCUCGGUUUAUGUUUAUGAGCUAUGUUAUUCAAUAAUUCAAAGCCAGUGUAAUCUGAAGAAGAUGAUUUCAAUUUGAAGAAAGGGAAGAAGGAGUUGCAGAUGGGUUUAGGAUUCAGAUCGAGAGAAAAAAUGAGAAGUAUGAUUGUAUUGGGUUCGAGCUGUUUGAAUUAGAAAUUGGAGAGAAGAAGUGAUUGAAGAUAGUGGUUGAGCUUGUAGAAGACAUAAGCUAGAUUUUAAUCUGCAGAAGUUUAAUCUACAAAAUCCCGUCAUUCAAAAAUCACCAGCUUAGACAAAGACGGACAAAGGGAGAUGAUGAUUGAGUUAUAGGGAUUUUGUUCACUGAUCAAAGGGAAACCUUGGGUUUGUAUGAGUUGUUUUACAUGGAUAUUGGUGGUACUGUUUAUGAUUGAAGAAGCUGAAGAGGGUUUGGUGUUGACAAUAUUAUUGCAGGUGGAACUGGAAAUGGUGAUUUUUGGCUGGGAUUUGAGCUGACAUUGCAGAUUAUAGGUCUGGUGCAAGUGAAGAUUUCAAGCUGAUAAAGAAGUUAGACUGGGUAAAAUGGUAUGACGCUUGUCUGUUGCAGCUAAAGAAUUGGUGGUAUGGCUGUAUCAUAGGGAGAAUUAGACUGGUUAAAAUGGAAUUGAGAUGAGCAUACAUGACAGUGUGGGUGCUUGGAUGUGUUGUCGUGGGUUAGAUUCUGAUGAGGAAGUUGAUUGCAGCUGAGUUGAAGUCAUGUAACAGACGUACGAGAUGAAUAAAUGGAUGGUGGUGUGUCGCUAAGAUUAAAAUGAUGUGCUUGUUUCCAUAUUAGCAUUACGUGGAAGAAUAUUGCAAGGAGCGCAAAAUGGAUGUUGGAGCUGGUGGUUAAAGUUGGCAGAAGCUUGAAUCUAUGUUGGUGUUGCAGGUAGUUGUAAAGAUUGAAUAUAUUCGAGAAUACUUGAAUCUGAUCAGUGUUGUGUCGUGUCGUGUAACUGAAAUUGGUGAUGAUGUUGAAAUGUUUUGAGCAGACUUGAGCUUCAGAAGAUAUACCUAAUUGUUGCAGUAAAGCCUUGAAGGAUGGUGUUGUGCUGUGGUGGUUAUGGCCUGAGUAUACAGUGCCACCUAUGCAGUGCCAUGUAUGCAAUAUUUGAUGACGGGUACAGAGUCAAAUUGUCGAGUCAGUUAUCAAUGAACGAUUCCAAGGACAAUUAGGUCUUUUUAGGUUCACUUAACGGAGCUAACUUUCCAUCCAUCACUUUUGGUCAAAACUUGCCUAGUUUUGCAAUAAAUAAAAAACAGGCCUAGUUUGAAAAGCACAAAAAAAACAGGCUUAUUUUUGUAAAAAGCCCAAUUUAUUUCCAUGCAUUUGAUCUAACGAAUAAAUGCCAACUUUAGAUGGGAUGAUAUGCUUGAAGGGAUGAUAGCUUGUAAUAUGUAUAAUCUUGUAAUCGUCACUGUUUAAGUUAUAACCAAACCCAUAUAUUCUCGGCCCCCAACUGGCUUGAAGUUCAGAUGGUGA